rnacentral:rRNA from 1 species
UACGUAGGGGGCAAGCGUUGUCCGGAAUCAUUGGGCGUAAAGCGAGUGUAGGCGGUCCGAUAAGUCGGGUGUGAAAGCCCUGGGCUCAACCCAGGAAGUGCACUCGAAACUGCCGGGCUAGAGUAUCGGAGAGGUUGGUGGAAUUCUCGGUGUAGAGGUGAAAUUCGUAGAUAUCGAGAGGAACACCGGUGGCGAAGGCGGCCAACUGGACGAAUACUGACGCUGAGACUCGAAAGCGUGGGGAGCAAACAGG